rnacentral:tRNA from 1 species
AGUUUUAAUAAUUUAAAUAAAAUAUUGAUUUUGUAAAUCAAAAAUAUGAUUUCAUUUAAAAC